rnacentral:rRNA from 1 species
GCGGAGGAAAAGAAACCAACAGGGAUUGCCCCAGUAACGGCGAGUGAAGCGGCAACGGCUCAAAUUUGAAAUCCGGCCCCCCGGGGCCCGAGUUGUAAUUUGUAGAGGACGCUUCUGGCACGGCACCUUCCAAGUCCUCUGGAACGGGGCGCCGCAGAGGGUGAGAGCCCCGUACGGUCGGACGCCAGGCCAGUGUGAAGCUCCUUCGACGAGUCGAGUAGUUUGGGAAUGCUGCUCAAAGUGGGAGGUAAAUUCCUUCUAAAGCUAAAUACCGGCUAGAGACCGAUAGCGCACAAGUAGAGUGAUCGAAAGAUGAAAAGCACUUUGAAAAGAGGGUUAAACAGCACGUGAAAUUGUUGAAAGGGAAGCGCUCAUGACCAGACGUGCGCCCCGCGGAUCACCCGGCGUUCUCGCCGGCGCACUCCGCGGGGCGCAGGCCAGCAUCGGUUCUCGCGGGGGGACAAAAGCCCGGGGAACGUGGCUCCUCCGGGAGUGUUAUAGCCCGGGGCAUAAUGCCCUCGCGGGGACCGAGGUCCCGCGCGUCCGCAAGGAUGCUGGCGUAAUGGUCAUCAGCGACCCGUCUUGAAACACGGACCAAGGAGUCAAGGUUCUGCGCGAGUGUCUGGGUGUCAAACCCGCACGCGUAAUGAAAGUGAACGCAGGUGAGAGCUUCGGCGCAUCAUCGACCGAUCCUGAUGUGCUCGGAUGGAUUUGAGUAGGAGCGUGGUGCCUUGGACCCGAAAGAUGGUGAACUAUGCUUGGAUAGGGUGAAGCCAGAGGAAACUCUGGUGGAGGCUCGCAGCGGUUCUGACGUGCAAAUCGAUCGUCAAAUCUGAGCAUGGGGGCGAAAGACUAAUCGAACCAUCUAGUAGCUGGUUACCGCCGAAGUUUCCCUCAGGAUAGCAGUGUUGAUCUUCAGUUUUAUGAGGUAAAGCGAAUGAUUAGGGACUCGGGGGCGCCUUAUAGCCUUCAUCCAUUCUCAAACUUUAAAUAUGUAAGAAGCCCUUGUUACUUAGCUGAACGUGGGCCUUCGAAUGUAGCGACACUAGUGGGCCAUUUUUGGUAAGCAGAACUGGCGAUGC